AUUGAACGCUGGCGGCAGGCUUAACACAUGCAAGUCGAGCGGUAGCACAGGGGCUCUUGCUCCCUGGGUGACGAGCGGCGGACGGGUGAGUAAUGUCUGGGAAACUGCCUGAUGGAGGGGGAUAACUACUGGAAACGGUAUCUAAUACCGCAUAACGUCGCAAGACCAAAGAGGGGGACCUUCGGGCCUCUUGCCAUCAGAUGUGCCCAGAUGGGAUUAGCUAGUAGGUGGGGUAAUGGCUCACCUAGGCGACGAUCCCUAGCCGGUCUGAGAGGAUGACCAGCCACACUGGAACUGAGACACGGUCCAGACUCCUACGGGAGGCAGCAGUGGGGAAUAUUGCACAAUGGGCGAAAGCCUGAUGCAGCCAUGCCGCGUGUGUGAAGAAGGCCUUCGGGUUGUAAAGCACUUUCAGCGGGGAGGAAGGUGGUGAGCUUAAUACGUUCAUCAAUUGACGUUACUCGCAGAAGAAGCACCGGCUAACUCCGUG
rnacentral:rRNA from 1 species